AAUAUUGGACAAUGGGCGAAAGCCUGAUCCAGCCAUGCCGCGUGUGUGAAGAAGGUCUUCGGAUUGUAAAGCACUUUAAGUUGGGAGGAAGGGUUGUAGAUUAAUACUCUGCAAUUUUGACGUUACCGACAGAAUAAGCACCGGCUAACUUCGUGCCAGCAGCCGCGGUAAUACGAAGGGUGCAAGCGUUAAUCGGAAUUACUGGGCGUAAAGCGGCGGUAGGUGGUUCCGUUAAGUGGAAGGUGGGGGCCCCGGGUUAAACCGGGGACUGCAUUCAAAACUGGGGGGCGAGAGGAAGGUAGAGGGUGGUGGGAAUUCCUGUGUAGGGGUGAAAUGGGGAGGUAUAGGAAGGAACACCAGGGGGGAAAGCGGCCAACUGGAAUGAUAAUGAAAAUGAGGUGCGAAAGCGUGGGGAGCAAACAGG
rnacentral:rRNA from 1 species